rnacentral:hammerhead_ribozyme from 1 species
ACCCAAAUGACGAGUCCCAAAUAGGACAAAACGUGCGUCCUGGAU